AGAGUUUGAUCAUGGCUCAGGAUGAACGCUGGCGGCGUGCCUAACACAUGCAAGUCGAGCGAUUCUCUUCGGAGAAGAGCGGCGGACGGGUGAGUAACGCGUGGGUAACCUGCCUCAUACACAUGGAUAACAUACCGAAAGGUAUGCUAAUACAAGAUGAUAUAAGAGAUUCGCAUGGAUUUCUUAUCAAAGCUCCGGCGGUAUGAGAUGGACCCGCGUCUGAUUAGCUAGUUGGUAAGGUGACGGCUUACCAAGGCGACGAUCAGUAGCCGACCUGAGAGGGUGAACGGCCACAUUGGAACUGAGACACGGUCCAAACUCCUACGGGAGGCAGCAGUGGGGAAUAUUGCACAAUGGGCGAAAGCCUGAUGCAGCAACGCCGCGUGAGCGAUGAAGGCCUUCGGGUCGUAAAGCUCUGUCCUCAAGGAAGAUAAUGACGGUACUUGAGGAGGAAGCCCCGGCUAACUACGUGCCAGCAGCCGCGGUAAUACGUAGGGGGCUAGCGUUAUCCGGAUUUACUGGGCGUAAAGGGUGCGUAGGUGGUUUCUUAAGUCAGGAGUGAAAGGCUACGGCUCAACCGUAGUAAGCUCUUGAAACUGGGAAACUUGAGUGCAGGAGAGGAAAGUGGAAUUCCUAGUGUAGCGGUGAAAUGCGUAGAUAUUAGGAGGAACACCAGUAGCGAAGGCGGCUUUCUGGACUGUAACUGACACUGAGGCACGAAAGCGUGGGGAGCAAACGGGAUUAGAUACCCUGGUAGUCCACACCGUAAACGAUGAGUACUAGGUGUCGGGGGUUACCCCCCUCGGUGCCGCAGCUAACGCAUUAAGUACUCCGCCUGGGGAGUACGCUCGCAAGAGUGAAACUCAAAUGAAUUGACGG
rnacentral:rRNA from 1 species